CGAUGCCGACCGAGGGCCCGGAGGAGUUACGUACGACCCUCCGGGGCCCUCCCGCGAGAAAUCAGGAGUAUUCGGGUUCCGGGGGGAGUAUGGUCGCAAGGCCGAAACUUAAAGGAAUUGACGGAAGGGCACCACCAGGAGUGGAAUCUGCGGCUUAAUUUGACAACGCGGGAAAACUCACCAGGUCAGGACACGGUAAGGAUUGACGGACUGAAGGCUCUUUCUCGAUUCCGUGGAAAGUGGUGCAUGGCCGUUUUUGGUUGGUGGAUCGAUCCGUCUGGUUAAUUCCGUUAACGAACGAGACCUCGGCACUCCGAAUAGCGCGGCGGACGUCGCGGCCUCCGGGCCGUCUUCCGCACGAGCUUCUUAGAGGGACCGUCCCCCGCCGGGGAAGGAGGUGCGAGGCAACGACAGGUCUGUGAUGCCCUUAGAUGUUCUGGGCCGCACGCGCAUUACACUGACGCGUCCAACGGGUGACUCCCGACCCGAAGGGGCCGGGGAAUCCGCAAGGCGCGUCGUGAUGGGGAUUGAACGUUGCAAUUG
rnacentral:rRNA from 1 species